CCUACGGGUGGCAGCAGUGAGGAAUAUUGGUCAAUGGGCGGAAGCCUGAACCAGCCAAGUAGCGUGCAGGAUGAUGGCCCUACGGGUUGUAAACUGCUUUUAUACGGGCAUCACGCGCCUUACGUGUAGGGCUUUGCAUGUACCGUAUGAAUAAGGACCGGCUAAUUCCGUGCCAGCAGCCGCGGUAAUAAGGAAGGUCCGGGCGUUAUCCGGAUUUAUUGGGUUUAAAGGGAGCUUAGGCCGCAUGUCAAGCGUGCUGUGAAAUGUCCGGGCGCAACCCGGGCCUUGCAGCGCGAACUGGCGUGCUUGAGUCCGCGGAAAGCAGGCGGAAUUCGUCGUGUAGCGGUGAAAUGCUUAGAUAUGACGAAGAACCCCGAUUGCGAAGGCAGCUUGC
rnacentral:rRNA from 1 species